CAUAACCUGAGGUGCUUACCAAUUCCUAUUAUUUUGAACCUACAGUUACUUUAAACGGGACUCCUAUAUUGCUGCAUGGAUGUCACGCCUUACCUACGGGUCAGAGGACGGCAGAAGUGUCAGCUGCGGUAACCCACCUAGCCAUAUGCUAGGAGUCAAAAUAUAGGAAAAGCAUUUUGGGGACAAA
rfam:Firmicutes bacterium CAG:194 genomic scaffold, scf63